CCUACGGGAGGCAGCAGUGAGGAAUAUUGGACAAUGGGCGCAAGCCUGAUCCAGCCAUGCCGCGUGCAGGAUGACGGUCCUAUGGAUUGUAAACUGCUUUUGUACAGGAAGAAACACUGGUUCGUGAACCAGCUUGACGGUACUGUAAGAAUAAGGAUCGGCUAACUCCGUGCCAGCAGCCGCGGUAAUACGGAGGAUCCAAGCGUUAUCCGGAAUCAUUGGGUUUAAAGGGUCCGUAGGCGGUUUAGUAAGUCAGUGGUNAAAGCCCAUCGCUCAACGGUGGAACGGCCAUUGAUACUGCUAGACUUGAAUUAUUAGGAAGUAACUAGAAUAUGUAGUGUAGCGGUGAAAUGCUUAGAGAUUACAUGGAAUACCANUUGCGAAGGCAGGUUACUACUAAUGGAUUGACGCUGAUGGACGAAAGCGUGGGUAGCGAACAGGAUUAGAUACCCUGGUAGUCCACGCCGUAAACGAUGGAUACUAGCUGUUGGGGGCAACUUCAGUGGCUAAGCGAAAGUGAUAAGUAUCCCACCUGGGGAGUACGUUCGCAAGAAUGAAACUCAAAGGAAUUGACGGGGGCCCGCACAAGCGGUGGAGCAUGUGGUUUAAUUCGAUGAUACGCGAGGAACCUUACCAAGGC
rnacentral:rRNA from 1 species